rnacentral:rRNA from 1 species
UACGUAGGGCGCAAGCGUUGUCCGGAAUUAUUGGGCGUAAAGAGCUCGUAGGCGGCCUGUUGCGUCGGUUGUGAAAGCCCGGGGCUUAACCCCGGGUCUGCAGUCGAUACGGGCAGGCUAGAGUGUGGUAGGGGAGAUCGGAAUUCCUGGUGUAGCGGUGAAAUGCGCAGAUAUCAGGAGGAACACCGGUGGCGAAGGCGGUGCUCUGGGCCAGUACUGACGCUGAGGAGCGAAAGCGUGGGGAGCGAACAGG